UUCCGGUUGAUCCCGCCGGAGGCGACCGCUUUGGGAGUUCGAUUAAGCCAUGCGAGUCGUGAGUCUUAGGGACUCGGCAUACUGCUCAGUAACACGUGGAUAACCUGCCCUAUCGUCUGGAAUAACCUCGGGAAACUGAGAAUAAGGCCGGAUAGUUCACAAUGCCUGGAACGGUUUGUGAAUCAAGGUAGGAUGGGUCUGCGGCGUAUCAGGUUGUAGGGGGUGUAAAGGACCCCCUAGCCUUCGACGCGUACGGGUGUUGGGAGACAUAGCCCGGAGAUGGAUUCUGAGACACGAAUCCAGACCCUACGGGGUGCAGCAGGCGCGAAAACUUCACACUGCAGGAAACUGUGAUGAGGGAACUCCUAGUGCAUGCACUAUGUGUAUGUAGAUCCUACUCUUAACAAGUAGAGGGAAAGGGCUGGGAAAGACCGGUGCCAGCCGCCGCGGUAAUACCGGCAGCUCAAGUGGUCGUCGCUUUUAUUGGGCCUAAAACGUCCGUAGCCUGUCUGGUAAAUCUGUGGGUAAAUCAAUCCGCUCAACGGAUUGAAUUCUGCAGAGACUGCCAGACUAGGGACCGGGAGAGGUGUGGGGUACUCGAGGGGUAGGGGUAAAAUCCUGUCAUCCUUCGAGGACCACCAGUUGCGAAGGCGCCACACUGGAACGGAUCCGACGGUCAGGGACGAAGCCUAGGGGCACGAACCGGAUUAGAUACCCGGGUAGUCCUAGGUGUAAACGCUGUGAACUUGGUGUCGGGGGUCCGCAAGGGGUCCCCGGUGCCGGGGUGAAGAUGUUAAGUUCACUGCCUGGGGAGUACGGUCGCAAGGCUGAAACUUAAAGGAAUUGGCGGGGCAGCAC
rnacentral:rRNA from 1 species